AACGAACGCUGGCGGCAUGCUUAACACAUGCAAGUCGAACGAGACCUUCGUGCCUAGUUGCGCACGUGUGCUUAACACGUGGUAACCUGCCCUUAGGUUCGGUACCACUCCCCGAAAGGUGUCUUAAUACCGGUUAAUCUCAUCCGACCUAAGAUUUCUUGCCUUUGGGUGGGGCCGGGUUGGAUUAGGCAGUUGGUAGGGUAAAAGCCUACCAAGGGGUUGAUCCAUAGCUGGUGUGAGAGGAGGACUAAGCACAAUGGGCAUGAGACACGGGCCAGACUGCUACGGGAGGCAGCAGAGGGGAAUAUUAGACAAGGAGCGAAAGCCUGAUACAGCAAUGCCGGGUGAGAGAUGAAGGGCUUAGGGUUGUAAAGCUGUUUUAGACGGGAUGAUAAUGACAGUACCGGGAGAAUAAGCACCGGCUAACUACGUG
rnacentral:rRNA from 1 species